AGCUUUGCGCAGUGGCAGUAUUGUAGCCAAUGAGGUUUAUCCGAGGCGCGAUUAUUGCUAAGUCUCUAAUACCAGUAAUAAGCCUUGCAGACCAAUCCAUAUAGAAAAUUUUGCAUUCCCCUAUAAUAACUCAAUGACGGUCUUGGGA